AUUGAACGCUGGCGGUAUGCUUAACACAUGCAAGUCGAACGGUAACAGGCCUUCGGCGCUGACGAGUGGCGGACGGGUGAGUAACGCGUAGGAAUCUGCCUCAUAGUGGGGACAACGUGGGGAAACUCACGCUAAUACCGCAUACGCCCUACGGGGAAAGCGGGGAUCUUCGGACCUCGCGCUAUGAGAUGAGCCUGCGUUAGAUUAGCUAGUUGGUAGGGUAAAGGCCUACCAAGGCGACGAUCUAUAGCUGGUCUGAGAGGUCGAUCAGCCACACUGGGACUGAGACACGGCCCAGACUCCUACGGAGGCAGCAGUGGGG
rnacentral:rRNA from 1 species